GUGACGCCCGGGGAAUGGCGUGGCGUGACGAGCAUGGCGACGAUGAAUAAUAAAGAAUUUGAAAGAGGCAGGAAGUCACAAGAACAAGCAGACGGACGCCUCUUUCCAUCUAUUCUUCGCUCGGGCAAUGGAAGGGGAAGCUGCUUCUCGACCUCCGAGGCCGUUCAUGGGGGUGAAGGCCCGCCGCGGAGCCUCCUUCCGCCGGGACGUCAAGGGUGAUUACCUCGACGUCCCCUCCGACCCCUUCCUCUCCGCCAUCUUGUCCAAGCAAGGAGAUGAGACACUUCUAUUUGCUGACAAGGUCUUGAAGUGUACAGGCACUGGAAAGAUGAAGCGGUGUAUAUUAAUGAUUACGGGUUCUGCUAUCUAUCUUGUUGAUCCAGAUGCUGAUGUAUUGAAACGACGAAUUAUGCUUGCAUCUAUCGAUAAGAUAUGUUUGAGCAAGCUGAGUGAUAACUUCUUUGCGGUCAUUGUUCCAAGUGAAUAUGAUUGUCUUAUGGCCAGCACCAGGAAAACAGAAAUUGUUACUGUCCUCGUUGAAGCUUCCAAAAGUAGAUCAGAAUAUGAGAUUGGAGUGGUUUUCUCCAAUAGGUUCGAGUAUCGUGCUGCUGCUGACAUGGUGAAGGAAGUUCGGUUUGCGGAAGUAGACGGUCAGUCAUUUACUUUACGUUUUGGAACAUAUCCGAGUGAAAACUGAAGCUAAAAUUGCGCUUUAAAAAUGAAUAUGCAUCUGUGCUUCUGGAAGUUUCAGGAAAGGAUCAUUCAGGGGGCAUUAAAACAAGGAUCGUGAAGAAAUAUCGUUGACAUUUGAGUUUGACUAGCACCCUGAAAGCGGCCUUGUAUAGACAAUACUAGAUUAGACUUGUCUCCUACUCUUGAUCGUUGAUUUGUCGUCAGUCUCCGGUGUGCCUUUAUGCAAUUUCACAUGUUGCCGUAAAGGCUGUAAUCAAAUAACUCGGUUUAAAUUGUUGCAGAUGCUUCCUCGA